GAUGAACGCUGGCGGCGUGCCUAAUACAUGCAAGUCGAGCGAACGGACGAGAAGCUUGCUUCUCUGAUGUUAGCGGCGGACGGGUGAGUAACACGUGGAUAACCUACCUAUAAGACUGGGAUAACUUCGAGAAACCGGCGCUAAUACCGGAUAAUAUUUUGAACCGCAUGGUUCAAAAGUGAAAGACGGUCUUGCUGUCACUUAUAGAUGGAUCCGCGCUGCAUUAGCUAGUUGGUAAGGUAACGGCUUACCAAGGCAACGAUGCAUAGCCGACCUGAGAGGGUGAUCGGCCACACUGGAACUGAGACACGGUCCAGACUCCUAAGGGAGGCAGCAGUAGGGAAUCUUCCGCAAUGGGCGAAAGCCUGACGGAGCAACGCCGCGUGAGUGAUGAAGGUCUUCGGAUCGUAAAACUCUGUUAUUAGGGAAGAACAUAUGUGUAAGUAACUGUGCACAUCUUGACGGUACCUAAUCAGAAAGCCACGGCUAACUACGUG
rnacentral:rRNA from 1 species